GACGAACGCUGGCGGCGCGCCUAACACAUGCAAGUCGAACGAGAGAUGAGGAGCUUGCUCUUCAAAUCGAGUGGCGAACGGGUGAGUAACGCGUGAGGAACCUGCCUCAAAGAGGGGGACAACAGUUGGAAACGACUGCUAAUACCGCAUAAGCCCACAGCUCGGCAUCGAGCAGAGGGAAAAGGAGCAAUCCGCUUUGAGAUGGCCUCGCGUCCGAUUAGCUAGUUGGUGAGGUAACGGCCCACCAAGGCGACGAUCGGUAGCCGGACUGAGAGGUUGAACGGCCACAUUGGGACUGAGACACGGCCCAGACUCCUACGGGAGGCAGCAGUGGGGAAUAUUGCACAAUGGGGGAAACCCUGAUGCAGCGACGCCGCGUGGAGGAAGAAGGUCUUCGGAUUGUAAACUCCUGUUGUUGAGGAAGAUA
rnacentral:rRNA from 1 species